GGCCUCGCCCUGGAGUCUCGGCACCGUCUGGCCCCGCCGGCUGAUUACAGCCAGAGAUCGAGGGGGACCUCGCUGUCCCCCUAGAGGCCGUCAUGCGGGGUUACAGAGGCUGCGACCAAAGUCAUUCCUAGCUCCUCUCUCGGGGCUCCGGAAAGCCGUCCGCGCCUCCAGCCGCACUUUCAGCGCACGCAGGACCUGCCGCGCCCGGUGGCCACACCCGUCCCUCUGCCGGGUGACGCUGCGGGAGAUCUUGCGCCCUGGGGCUCCGGAUCCAGUUCUGUCAUGCACUUGGGUGAAAACAGACUGAAGAGUCACGGGAACCAGCUUGUCUCCCCAGUUAUGGCGCAGAGCUGCAAGGAUGGCUGUGGGUCAUUAAUUUCUCCGUGGCUGACCUGUGUUUGUAACGCCGCAGCUGUUGCGAGGGGGAAGGACACUGCUUCGGAUUCAAAUUCUGACUCCUUGCUGCAGUGUGUCACCUUGAGCCAGUCCCAGAUCUCUGCGUUCUCACAAUUGUAAAAUGUUAACAGAGGCUGCCUACCUUGUGGCUGGAAUUAAAUGAAUUAACGUGUGUGAAUGUGACUAGAAUUCAGUACAUGUUCAGGAAAAGCUGAUUUCCGCUUUGCUGUUACCGUGAAUAUUACUGUUUUAGGGUGUAGAAAAGGGUGGAAGGGGAUGUUAUUGCAUCCUGGAAGCUUAUCCUUUUGAGGUAAAGAUUGAUUUCUGGUCCCCUGCGUGGUAUAUAGUGUAGUUUUGACAUUAUUUAGAUGUGUUAUGCACAUUUGGGUGUUGAUUAUAUGGCUUACGAUCAAGACUAACCAGUCAUGCCGUGGGAGAUUAAGGUCGUGGUCUCUUGUCAGGAUUGUAGUGAGAUUUAAAAAUUCCAGCCAGAAAUACCAGGCUUAGAAUGCUCUGAAGCCCUCCCCACAUUUUUGCCAUCUCUAGCAGGAGGGCACUGCAUAGCAGAAACAAAGACGUUGUAAAUUGUUGCUGCCUGAGUCAUUUAUAGAGGCUUAAACAACCUGAAUGUCCUCUGACCUACCUGUAACAUUUGAUGGAGUUGUAUGAGUAACUUACAAAGCUGUAGGUCCCAAGGUCGGUCUGAAAAAGAAAGUUCAUAUCCGGGAGCACUGACCCCGUAGUGUAAUCCUGGCACCUUAAAACGUACUGCUCCCUCCACCUUCACUUCAAGGUUAUGAAAACAUUGAGUAAAAGGGAUGAUCUGUUCAAAGUCCUUAGUGUUCUGCCAAUUUAAAACAGUAAUUUUCAAAGCAGUUAUUUGCAAGGAAAUUGCCUAGAACUUCUCCCAGUGUGCGGUUGUUUUGUGUGUUUGUGUGUGUGUUUUGUUUGUUUGUUUUCAGUCUGUCCACAGGCGUACUUUUAUAGGUCUGUGAUAGUAGGUAGCUCUUCAAGUUGGCAAACACCUGCUGGACAACCCCUGAGAGAUUCAUCUGAGUGAGAGAGCACUCUCCAGCCCCAUCGGAGUGGGUUUGCAGGGAAAUCAUAAGGAAGAAAUCCUUAUCUUUCCAACACUGAGAUGCUUCUGCCGAAGAGUAGAAUGGGAGUGAGGGGACACGCAAAACGGGCUGCUGCCGGAGGAAGAGGAACAGUGUUGUGGCUCAUGCCAUAUGAAUGGGCUCACUGGCCUGGCCCAGACCCUGACUGCCCACAGGAUCUUUGACAGAGAAACGGAGGCACAGAGAAGGAAGCGGCAGUUAAAGCUGCGAAGAACCUAACAAAUUUCAAGAUUGUAAGUGCCUUUUCCCAGGAUGCCAGCAAGUACUGAGCCUGUAUUUUGAGCUGCAUCAAACCCUGUUGGAAUAAAAAAGGACAUUUCUAGGAGAUCAGUCUUCGAGAUUGGCCCCAGUUUCCCCAGAGUAGGAAGAGGCAGGAAGCCAGAGCACAUGUUCUCUCCAGAAAUAAAGUUGUUGCAGUGGCCUAACCGUGUCUUAGAGUUACUGAAAACUCUGUUCUCUUGAGAUUUCUCAAGAAAGGAAACCUAUCUUGCAAGACAAAACCCACCUGUAGUCAAUU
rnacentral:lncRNA from 10 species